GAUGAACGCUGGCGGCGUGCCUAAUACAUGCAAGUCGAGCGAACUGAUUAGAAGCUUGCUUCUAUGACGUUAGCGGCGGACGGGUGAGUAGCACGUGGGCAACCUGCCUGUAAGACUGGGAUAACUUCGGGAAACCGAAGCUAAUACCGGAUAGGCUCAUCUCCUUCAUGGGAGAUGAUUGAAAGAUGGUUUCGGCUAUCACUUACAGAUGGGCCCGCGGUGCAUUAGUUAGUUGGUGAGGUAACGGCUCACCAAGGCAACGAUGCAUAGCCGACCUGAGAGGGUGAUCGGCCACACUGGGACUGAGACACGGCCCAGACUCCUACGGGAGGCAGCAGUAGGGAAUCUUCCGCAAUGGACGAAAGUCUGACGGAGCAACGCCGCGUGAGUGAUGAAGGCUUUCGGGUCGUAAAACUCUGUUGUUAGGGAAGAAUAAGUACAAGAGUAACUGCUUGUACCUUGACGGUACCUAACCAGAAAGCCACGGCUAACUACGUGCCAGCCGCCGCCGUAA
rnacentral:rRNA from 1 species